CUGAAAUGGAAAAGAUACAAUCAACAUAACAAAGUGAAGAUGUCGGUCAAUCAGUUGAUGCAUUUGCAUCAGUCAUAGGACUCGAGCAUCCACGCCGCGUAAGAUUGUAUGGAUGUGGGGUUUCCAAGACCGCCUUAAAAAAGUGGGAGAUAUUAGACCCUCUUUAAAUUCUACUGAUGAGAUGAUGUAGCAAAAAAUAGAAGAAAUAGAAUAUAGAAUUCAUCAAAGAAUGCAGGAAAAGUUCAAUGCACAAAAGGAUGCUAUGGAAAGAGAAUUACAAUUAACGUCGUCGCACAACUUCAGCAUCUUAACCCAGGAUUACGGAUUGAUACUAACAUGUUCGCUUUCAGUGCUCGUUCACCUGGAUAAACUUACUCUACACAACAAGCUGCUAUUAAACUAAUCAAUCUUCUAUCUACUGGUAGUAACGAUCUGGUGGAGAAAUGAUGAAAAGAAAAUCAAAAGCGAUGAAGUUCUAGACUUUACUUAAGAAGGUUUUUAAAUUAUUGCUGAAACUUUAGAUGUUCUAGGAAUCUUUUGUUAGCAAACAUUUUGAAACUUUUGUAAAAUUUAUGCAGCUUGGGUUAGAGGCGCAUUUUGCUUUUAUGGAUAUUACUGUAUAGCUUGUUGGACAAUUAAUUUGGAGUGUGAAUGUUAAUGAAUAGUUUCAUUCUGAGAAUUAUAUAAAUUUUAGUGUA